GGCNNGGCGCUGCUUACCAUGCAGUCGACGGUGAAGCAGAGCUUGCUCUGUGGAUCAGUGGCGAACGGGUGAGUAACACGUGAGCAACCUGCCCCUGACUCUGGGAUAAGCGCUGGAAACGGCGUCUAAUACUGGAUAUGUGACGUGACCGCAUGGUCUGCGUCUGGAAAGAAUUUCGGUUGGGGAUGGGCUCGCGGCCUAUCAGCUUGUUGGUGAGGUAAUGGCUCACCAAGGCGUCGACGGGUAGCCGGCCUGAGAGGGUGACCGGCCACACUGGGACUGAGACACGGCCCAGACUCCUACGGGAGGCAGCAGUGGGGAAUAUUGCACAAUGGGCGAAAGCCUGAUGCAGCAACGCCGCGUGAGGGAUGACGGCCUUCGGGUUGUAAACCUCUUUUAGCAGGGAAGAAGCGAAAGUGACGGUACCUGCAGAAAAAGCGCCGGCUAACUACGUGCCAGCAGCCGCGGUAAUACGUAGGGCGCAAGCGUUAUCCGGAAUUAUUGGGCGUAAAGAGCUCGUAGGCGGUUUGUCGCGUCUGCUGUGAAAUCCGGAGGCUCAACCUCCGGCCUGCAGUGGGUACGGGCAGACUAGAGUGCGGUAGGGGAGAUUGGAAUUCCUGGUGUAGCGGUGGAAUGCGCAGAUAUCAGGAGGAACACCGAUGGCGAAGGCAGAUCUCUGGGCCGUAACUGACGCUGAGGAGCGAAAGGGUGGGGGAGCAAACAGGCUUAAAUACCCUGGUAGUCCACCCCCUAAACGUUGGGAACUAGGGGUGGGGUCCAUUCCACGGAUUCCGUGACGCACUAACGCAUUAAGUUCCCCGCCUGGGGGAGUACGGCCGCAAGGCUAAAACUCGAGGAAUUGACGGGGACCCGCCAAGCAGCGGAGCAUGCCGAUUAAUUCGAUGCAACG
rnacentral:rRNA from 1 species